GUCCAGACUCCUACGGGAGGCAGCAGUGAGGAAUAUUGGUCAAUGGGCGGGAGCCUGAACCAGCCAAGUCGCGUGAGGGAAGACGGUCCUAUGGAUUGUAAACCUCUUUAGGCGGGGAACAAUGCCGGGCACGCGUGUCCGGAGGGAGAGUACCCGCAGAAUAAGCAUCGGCUAACUCCGUGCCAGCAGCCGCGGUAAUACGGAGGAUGCGGGCGUUAUCCGGAUUUAUUGGGUUUAAAGGGUGCGUAGGCGGAUUUUUAAGUCAGCGGUAAAAUGUCCGGGCUCAACCCGGGCCGGCCGUUGAAACUGGGGAUCUUGAGUGGGCGAGAAGUAUGCGGAAUGCGUGGUGUAGCGGUGAAAUGCAUAGAUAUCACGAAGAACCCCGAUUGCGAAGGCAGCCUGCCGCAGCGUUACUGACGCUGAAGCUCGAAAGCGCGGGUAUCGAACAGGAUUAGAUACCCUAGUA
rnacentral:rRNA from 1 species